GAUUUGAUUUGUGAACUUAGCCAGGCACAGUGGUGGCAGGGCCUAGCUGCUACAAAGAAGACAUGUUUUAGACAAUACUCAUGUGUAUGGGCAAAAAACUCGAGGACUGUAUUUGUGACUAACUGUAUAACAGGUUAUUUUAGUUUCUGUUCUGUGGAAAGUGUAAAGCAUUCCAACAAAGGGUUUUAAU